rnacentral:rRNA from 1 species
UACGAAGGGGGCUAGCGUUGCUCGGAAUUACUGGGCGUAAAGGGCGCGUAGGCGGAUAUUUAAGUUGGGGGUGAAAUCCCGGGGCUCAACCUCGGAAUUGCCUUCAAAACUGGAUAUCUUGAGUUCGGGAGAGGUGAGUGGAACUCCGAGUGUAGAGGUGAAAUUCGUAGAUAUUGGGAAGAACACCGGUGGCGAAGGCGGCUCUCUGGACCGAGACUGACGCUGAGGCGCGAAAGCGUGGGGAGCAAACAGG